AACGCGAAGAACCUUACCUCGGCUUGACAUGCACGUGGUACUGAUGGGAAACCAGAGGGACUCGCAAGAGAGCGUGCACAGAUGCUGCAUGGCUGUCGUCAGCUCGUGCCGUGAGGUGUUGGGUUAAGUCCCGCAACGAGCGCAACCCUUGUCCUUAGUUGAAAUCUCUAGGGAGACCGCCGGUCUAAACCGGAGGAAGGUGGGGAUGACGUCAAGUCAGCACGGCUCUUACGUCGAGGGCUACACACACGCUACAAUGGCCGGUACAACGGGCUGCAAAGGGGCGACCUGGAGCUAAUCCCACCAAAGCCGGUCUCAGUUCGGAUCGCAGGCUGCAACUCGCCUGCGUGAAGUCGGAGUUGCUAGUAACUGCUGGUCAGCACACAGCAGUGAAUACGUUCCCGGGCCUUGUACACACCGUAGUAC
rnacentral:rRNA from 1 species